rnacentral:rRNA from 1 species
UACGUAGGGGGCAAGCGUUGUUCGGAAUUACUGGGCGUAAAGGGCGCGUAGGCGGCACGGUAAGUCGGGAGUGAAAGCCCGGGGCUCAACCCCGGAACGUCUUUCGAAACUGCCGAGCUAGAGUGCGGAAGAGGCAACUGGAAUUCCCAGUGUAGCGGUGAAAUGCGUAGAUAUUGGGAAGAACACCUGAGGCGAAGGCGGGUUGCUGGGCCGGCACUGACGCUGAGGCACGAAGGCCAGGGGAGCAAACGGG